UGGAAUCCAGAAAGCAAGGGAACUAGGUCUACAACCAAGAAUCAACUACCCAGCAAAAGUGACUAUAUUCUUACAGGGGAAAGUAUGGUCAUUCAACAAAAUAGAAGAAUUCCAAGAAUUUGUAAAUAAAAGACCAGACCUGAACAGAAAAUUCAAUGCCCAAGCACAGAACUCAAGAGAAUCAUCAAAAGGUUGGCUUCAUUACAUAUCCCUGGGAAGAAGAUUAUACAUAUCAAUUUUAAAGAUGAAGAAUUCAAGGUGCCACUAAAAAUUUCAGGUACCAGAUAUGAUCCUCAUGGGCACCUAGACAUUUGCAGCAUGGUGACCAUAGAGCCAGGAUUGUAGGCAAGAUGGUGCAACCAAGGAGCCUACCAUGGACGCUCUGAGAAACCAGGGUGCCUGGGAUACUAGCCAAAGGUGCAUUUUGGACUGGAAUUGAAACUGUGUUCUCUAGGAACUGAGUAAGCUACAAACCUAACCUUCUUCUCUUCCCCAGAGACUGGGAUAGUCUCUAAGAGGGGAGGGUGAUUAUGUCUUCCAUGUGUUUUGAGAGGAAGGGAGUAAAUUUAUUUUUUUGUGGUCACACCCUUUGAGGUAUUAUUUCUUUGUAAAAGCUAAUGCAACUAUUAAUGGCUAAAUAGAACUGGGGUGCAGGGGCCACUCUUUACACUUGAGGGAACACCAUUCAGUGUAGUUGGAAUCAUUGGCAGAAGGUUUAGACUCU
rnacentral:lncRNA from 1 species